GGAAGUGAAAGUCGUAACAAGGUCUCCGUUGGUGAACCAGCGGAGGGAUCAUUACAGAGUUGCAAAACUCCCAAACCCUUGUGAACGUUACCUAUCCCGUUGCUUCGGCGGGCGGCCCGGGCCCCGCGCCCGGCGCCCCCCGGCCCCCCGUGGGCGCCCGCCGGAGGUAAACCAAACCCUUGAAUUGCAUGGCCUCUCUGAGUCUUCUGUACUGAGUAAGUCAAAACUUUCAACAACGGAUCUCUUGGUUCUG
rnacentral:misc_RNA from 1 species